rnacentral:rRNA from 1 species
UGGUGCUAUAAUGCAGUAGAACGCUGAAGAGAGGAGCUUGCUCUUCUUGGAUGAGUUGCGAACGGGUGAGUAACGCGUAGGUAACCUGCCUUGUAGCGGGGGAUAACUAUUGGAAACGAUAGCUAAUACCGCAUAACAAUGGAUGACACAUGUCAUUUAUUUGAAAGGGGCAAUUGCUCCACUACAAGAUGGACCUGCGUUGUAUUAGCUAGUAGGUGAGGUAAUGGCUCACCUAGGCGACGAUACAUAGCCGACCUGAGAGGGUGAUCGGCCACACUGGGACUGAGACACGGCCCAGACUCCUACGGGAGGCAGCAGUAGGGAAUCUUCGGCAAUGGGGGCAACCCUGACCGAGCAACGCCGCGUGAGUGAAGAAGGUUUUCGGAUCGUAAAGCUCUGUUGUAAGUCAAGAACGGGUGUGAGAGUGGAAAGUUCACACUGUGACGGUAGCUUACCAGAAAGGGACGGCUAACUACGUGCCAGCAGCCGCGGUAAUACGUAGGUCCCGAGCGUUGUCCGGAUUUAUUGGGCGUAAAGCGAGCGCAGGCGGUUUGAUAAGUCUGAAGUUAAAGGCUGUGGCUCAACCAUAGUUCGCUUUGGAAACUGUCAAACUUGAGUGCAGAAGGGGAGAGUGGAAUUCCAUGUGUAGCGGUGAAAUGCGUAGAUAUAUGGAGGAACACCGGUGGCGAAAGCGGCUCUCUGGUCUGUAACUGACGCUGAGGCUCGAAAGCGUGGGGAGCGAACAGGAUUAGAUACCCUGGUAGUCCACGCCGUAAACGAUGAGUGCUAGGUGUUGGAUCCUUUCCGGGAUUCAGUGCCGCAGCUAACGCAUUAAGCACUCCGCCUGGGGAGUACGACCGCAAGGUUGAAACUCAAAGGAAUUGACGGGGGCCCGCACAAGCGGUGGAGCAUGUGGUUUAAUUCGAAGCAACGCGAAGAACCUUACCAGGUCUUGACAUCCCGAUGCUAUUUCUAGAGAUAGAAAGUUACUUCGGUACAUCGGUGACAGGUGGUGCAUGGUUGUCGUCAGCUCGUGUCGUGAGAUGUUGGGUUAAGUCCCGCAACGAGCGCAACCCCUAUUGUUAGUUGCCAUCAUUCAGUUGGGCACUCUAGCGAGACUGCCGGUAAUAAACCGGAGGAAGGUGGGGAUGACGUCAAAUCAUCAUGCCCCUUAUGACCUGGGCUACACACGUGCUACAAUGGUUGGUACAACGAGUUGCGAGUCGGUGACGGCGAGCUAAUCUCUUAAAGCCAAUCUCAGUUCGGAUUGUAGGCUGCAACUCGCCUACAUGAAGUCGGAAUCGCUAGUAAUCGCGGAUCAGCACGCCGCGGUGAAUACGUUCCCGGGCCUUGUACACACCGCCCGUCACACCACGAGAGUUUGUAACACCCGAAGUCGGUGAGGUAACCUUUUGAGCCAGCCGCCUAAGGUGUCA